rnacentral:lncRNA from 1 species
CAUAUUAUAUACCUAUAGAAAUGUGUAAGUAUAUUAAGUAGCUACAACUGAUAUAAUAUAUACCUAUAGAAAUGUGUAAGUAUAUUAAGUAGCCACAACUGAUAUAAUAUAUACCUAUAGAAAUGUGUAAGUAUAUUAAGUAGCUACAACUGAUAUAAUAAUGGUUUUUUUAAAUGAACUUACUAAAACUAUCCUAACAGAUAUAUAUAUAUACAUGUUGUAUUACUAACAAUAACAAGAUAUACCUCUACUACAAAUCAUUAUGAAAAUUCAAAUUCAGUGGUACAUGUAUCUGUUUUAAGACUUAUAUGGGUAGUUUAACAUGAAACAUUUAAAUACUUGACCAUUGAUAUAACAUGAAUAUAAAAAAAUCAAUUUACCAUUAUUACAUAACAAAGGACUACAGUUGGAUCUUAGCUUUAAAAUAAAACUACAUUGUUAUCAUGAUAAUAAAAUAUAGAAGUCAGAUAGAACUACUUUUUCUCUAAUUUUGACCUUUACAGUUAAAGUGACCUACUUCUCAUUAUGUAUCAUCUUCAGGUUAAAAAUGAUAUCAUUACUUAUACAUGUUAUAGUCAUGGAGGUAUGAUUUUAUUGGUCGGUGUUUAACGCCAUUUUCAGCACUAUUGACACUAGUACUUAUAGUCAUGGAGAUAUGGUUUGAUUGAUUGGUGUUAAAAACUACUUUCAGCACUAUUGAUGCUAGUACUUAUAGUCGUGGAGAUAUGAUUUGAUUGAUCGGUGUUUAACGCCACUUUCAGCACUAUUGAUACUAGUACUUAUAGUCAUGGAGAUAUGAUUUGAUUGAUUGGUGUUUAACGCCACUUUCAGCACUAUUGAUCCCAGUACUUAUAGUCAUGGAGAUAUGAUUUGAUUGAUCGGUGUUUAACGCCACUUUUAGCAAUAUUGAUCCCAGUACUUAGUCAUGGAGAUAUGAUAUGAUUAAUUGGUGUUUAACGACACUUUCAGCACUAUUGAUACUUGUACUUAUAGUCAUGAAUAUAUAAUUAGAUUGAUUGGUGUUUAACGCCACUUUCAGCACUAUUAAUCCCAGUACUUAUAGUCAUGGAGAUAUGAUUUGAUUGAUUGGUGUUUAACGCCACUUUCAGCACUAUUGAUACUAGUACUUUUAGUCAUGGAGAUAUGAUUUGAUUGAUUUGUGUUAAAUGCCACUUUCAGCACUAUUGAUCCCAGUACUUAGAGUCAUGGAGAUAUGAUUUGAUUGAUCGGUGUUUAACGCCACUUUCAGCAAUAUUGAUACCAAUACUUAUAGUCAUGGAGAUAUGAUUUGAUCGGUUGGUGUUUAAAGCCACUUGUAGUACUAUUAAUACUAGUACUUAUAGUCAUGGAGAUAUGAUUUGAUGGUGUUUAACGCCACUUUCAGCACUAUUGAUACUAGUACUUAUAGUCAUGGAGAUAUGAUUUGAUUGAUCGGUGUUUAACGCCACUUUCAGCAAUACUGAUCCCAGUACUUAUAGUCAUGGAGACAUGAUAUGAU